AGAGUUUGAUCCUGGCUCAGAACGAACGCUGGCGGCAGGCCUAACACAUGCAAGUCGAACGAGAAGCCACCUUCGGGUGGUGGACAGUGGCAGACGGGUGAGUAACGCGUGGGAACGUGCCUUUCGGUUCGGAAUAACCCAGGGAAACUUGGGCUAAUACCGGAUACGCCCUUCGGGGGAAAGAUUCAUUGCCGAAAGAUCGGCCCGCGUCGGAUUAGCUAGUUGGUGGGGUAAUGGCUCACCAAGGCGACGAUCCGUAGCUGGUCUGAGAGGAUGACCAGCCACACUGGGACUGAGACACGGCCCAGACUCCUACGGGAGGCAGCAGUGGGGAAUAUUGGACAAUGGGCGAAAGCCUGAUCCAGCCAUGCCGCGUGGGUGAAGAAGGCCUUAGGGUUGUAAACCCCUUUCAGCGGGGAAGAUAAUGACGGUACCCGCAGAAGAAGUCCGGCUACUCCGUGCCAGCAGCCGCGGUA
rnacentral:rRNA from 1 species